rnacentral:lncRNA from 1 species
AAAGAAUGCUAGUACCUUGGGGCACAUUCCGUGUAUUGAACAUAAUACGUAUGGACAUAGAUAAAAUUACCAUAAAGCUUGAGAUCUAUCAUAUGUAUUUGCCCUGAAGCCUUAGGCAUAAAACGCAAAUACCAAUAACCUUAUGGUUAUAGUACUGAAAACAGCAAGCCCGAGGGCUAAACUGCUAAGUCUAGUAUGAUGACUCGUUCAUAAAAUUCAUUAGCCAGAGGGCUUAAUCGCAAAGAUGUGUUAACCCAUGGGUUCAACAAAAAAUGCAGGUACUUGCAUGGAAUUAGGAUAGAGCGUGAGGGUUAUCCUGUAUAUUAGAAUAAGCUAAGUGCUCAUACAAAAAUGCAAGGAGUUUCCGUUACUAAGGAAACAUGAAGGACCAAAUUGUAAAAUACCAUAUGGAUAAGAAAUCCCCAAUUUCUUGCCCGUGCGGUUCGCUUCAUGGAGCAACCGCUGUCGGAGUCCACGCCGUGGAUGGCCUCAGUUGUCGCCACCGCGCGGAUGCGAGCGGCUGCCGGGGGCUUCGCCAUAGGAGUGGCCUCGCGAGCGAGGGCACACCGAUGUCGAUUCAUCUGUGCUGCUGCCGUGUUGCGUGCGCUGCAAUGGCGACGACCGAAGGUACUAAUUCUUGAUGGGGACUGAUGUGUGUAAUAUUUAAAUUGGAAAAGAAACACUUUGUUCUCGUAGCAAUUUAGAUCAGGCGUUUGGUCUUUGCAUGAUUCUGUUAUGGUAGAUGGCCGCUGCGUCCAAUACGGCUUCGGCGUCACACCCUGCGGCCAAAGUCUUCUUUUCUUCUUGCGCAGUACACUCAAGUGGAGAUGAUUCACGCGAGUGCAUUGUGUACGUGAGAAAACAAUCAAUUGUUAGAUCGUUGAUCAAUCACAAGACUAGAUCAAAUGGACAAUUUCAUCAUUAAUUCGUCUUGUGUACUAUGUCUUGCUGUGAACAGGUCGGUCAUCGAUGCCAUGCGGAGCUACGCGUCGCGCCGUGAGCGCCUGUGGCCGUGGCCGCUGCUGGAAGCGCGGGCGCCGCACGUGGAGAGAGAUCUCGCCGGGGAUAGCAAUGGGGCGUCGGCAUCGCUGUCGAGGGCUGGCCUGGAGCGUGGCCUCGAGCGCUACCGAUCCGUGCGGGGAGACUCGCUGUGUGGCCCGUGCUCUCGGUAGAGGCGUGCGUGAUAACGUGUUAGAGUAAAACGAGAUUGAAUGAAAGUGAAUGAACGGUUAGUCUUUAUUGAUGAUAGCAAUAGGGUAUUUAUACCCGGGCGGAAGU